GAGAAAGUAAGUCAUACUGAUUUAUCUCUGCCUGAAGAGAAGCUCGCGGCUGAUUAGCUAGUUGGUAGGGUAAAGGCCUACCAAGGCGACGAUCAGUAGCUGGUCUGAGAGGACGAUCAGCCACACUGGAACUGAGACACGGUCCAGACUCCUACGGGAGGCAGCAGUGAGGAAUUUUCUGCAAUGGGCGAAAGCCUGACAGAGCAAUACCGCGUGGGGGAUGAAGACUUACUGAGUUGUAAACCUCGGUACCCUAAGGAAGAAGAUAUGACGGUACUUAGGGUGGAAAGCAUCGGCUAACUCCGUGCCAGCAGCCGCGGUAAGACGGGGGAUGCAAGUGUUAUCCGGAUUUACUGGGCGUAAAGCGUCUGCAGGUGGUUUCUUAAGUCUACUGUUAAAUCUUGAGGCUCAACCUCAAAUCUGCAGUAGAAACUAGGAGACUUGAGUAUAGUAGGGGUAGAGGGAAUUUCCAGUGGAGCGGUGAAAUGCGUAGAUAUUGGAAAGAACACCGAUGGCGAAGGCACUCUACUGGGCUAUUACUGACACUCAGAGACGA
rnacentral:rRNA from 1 species